GGUGUGCCUUGAUCUAUUUAAUC
rnacentral:siRNA from 1 species